CAGUCGCCGCGGGAAUACGAAGGGGGCUAGCGUUGUUCGGAAUUACUGGGCGUAAAGGGCGCGUAGGCGGCCAUUCAAGUUAGAUGUGAAAGCCCUGGGCUCAACCUAGGAAUUGCAUUUGAUACUGUUUGGCUUGAGCUCGGGAGAGGUGAGUGGAAUUCCCAGUGUAGAGGUGAAAUUCGUAGAUAUUGGGAAGAACACCAGUGGCGAAGGCGGCUCACUGGACCGACACUGACGCUGAGGCGCGAAAGCGUGGGGAGCAAACAGGAUUAGAUACCCGAGUAGUCCCUGUCUCUUAUAC
rnacentral:rRNA from 1 species